rnacentral:rRNA from 1 species
AUGUCAUCGCUUCAGUUAUUGCAACUUACGGAGCAUGGGCGAAACCUUUUUUCUUCUAGAAGGAGGACGCUUGCAGUUGUUUCUGGCGCACUACUUGCUGGUGGUACUUUAGCAUAUGCGCAGUCAGGUCGACGGAGGAAACAUCGGGAAGAAAAUCAUUCUAAUGAUGGAAAUGCACAUACCAGGAGUAAAGAGGGCAUUAGUCAAAAUGGUGUUGAUGGUAAAGUGGUAAAGACAAGGAAAAAGAAAAAUUUAUUGAAAUCCUUACAUUUCCUGGCUGCCAUUUUACUUAAGAAGAUUGGCCCAAGUGGAACAAAUUACCUUCUUGGCUUGAUGUUAACAGCAGUGUUACGUACAGCCAUUGGUCACAGAUUAGCAAAAGUUCAAGGGUAUUUGUUCAAAUCCGCGUUUCUUCGGCGUGUUCCGGCCUUCACACGCCUAAUCAUUGAAAAUCUUCUAUUAUGCUUUCUUCAGUCCACGGUAUAUCAGACCUCAAAGUACUUGACAGGAUCCUUAAGCUUGCGCUUCAAGAAAAUUUUGACGGAUCUCAUCCAUGCUGAUUACUUUGAGAAUAUGGUUUACUACAAGAUCUCACAUGUAGAUCAUCGGAUUUCAAACCCAGAGCAAAGGAUUGCUAGUGAUAUUCCUAAGUUCUGCGCAGGACUAAGUGACCUUGUACAAGAUGAUCUGAUUGCAGUUGCAGAUGGGUUAAUAUACAUCUGGCGCAUCUGUUCUUAUGCAAGUCCGAAAUAUGUUCUCUGGAUUCUGGCAUAUGUACUUGGUGCUGGUGGCACAAUUAGAAAAUUUUCCCCUUCUUUUGGGAAGUUGAAAGCCAUGGAACAACAACUAGAAGGGGAAUAUCGCCAGGUUCAUUCACGACUGAGAACUCAUGCUGAGAGCGUGGCAUUUUAUGGUGGUGAGAACAGCGAAGAAUCGCACAUUAUGCAGCGGUUCCAGGCUCUUGUGCGGCACGUGAAUGUUGUUCUUCAUGAGAACUGGUGGUUUGGCAUGAUUCAGGAUUUUCUUCUGAAGUAUCUUGGUGCCACAGUGGGAGUUAUCUUGAUUGUCGAACCUUUCUUUGCGGGAGAUCUUAAACCUGAUACAUCUACUUUAGGACGGGCAGAGAUGUUGAGUAAUCUUCGUUAUCACACAAGUGUGAUAAUAUCAUUAUUCCAGUCCCUUGGCACCCUUUCUACCAGUUCAAGACGUUUAAAUCUUCUCAGUGGCUAUGCAGACCGUAUUCAUGAGUUACUGGAUGUUUCACGUGAGCUAUCUGGGGUUCGUGACAGAUCAAUGAGCCGAAAUUCUUCUGCCAAAAAUUAUAUUAGUGAGGCAAACUAUAUAGAAUUUUCAGGUGUUAAGGUGGUGACACCCUCUGGGAAUGUCUUGGUUGAUGAUUUAACUCUCCGGGUGGAGUCGGGUUCUAAUCUUUUGAUCACUGGUCCCAACGGUAGUGGAAAAAGCUCUCUUUUCCGUGUUCUUGGGGGUCUGUGGCCACUUGUAUCUGGCCACAUUGUCAAACCUGGUGUUGGUUCUAAUCUUAACAAGGAAAUCUUUUAUGUCCCCCAGCGACCAUAUACAGCUGUCGGAACACUUCGCGACCAGUUAAUCUAUCCACUUACAGCAGAUCAGGAAACCGAACCACUUAGCUAUGGUGGUAUGGUGGAUCUUCUAAAGAAUGUUGAUCUAGAAUACUUGCUAGAACGCUACCCUCUCGACAAGGAAGUUAACUGGGGUGAUGAGUUGUCUCUUGGUGAGCAACAGAGAUUGGGAAUGGCGAGAUUGUUCUACCAUAAGCCCAAGUUUGCCAUCCUGGAUGAGUGUACUAGUGCUGUGACGACUGAUAUGGAAGAACGUUUCUGCAAUAGGGUCCGAGCAAUGGGCACGUCAUGCAUAACAAUAUCUCACCGACCAGCAUUAGUUGCUUUUCAUGAUGUCGUUUUGUCCUUGGAUGGUGAAGGAGGGUGGAAAGUUCAAGAUAACAGAAAUGGCUCCUUCCUUCCUACUGAAUCGGAGUUUGAUGCAUUGAAGUCAUCAGAAACUGACCGCAAAUCUGACGCACUUGCUGUUCAAAGGGCUUUUAGUGCUAAUACAAAGGAAAAUACUUUAUCGGGCCCCAAGGAACAUUCUUAUUCAACACAGGUCAUAGCUACUUCCCCCAAUAUGGAAAUAGAAUCCACAGAACAGCCACAUCUGAUCCCACAAUUGCAGUGCUCGCCGAGACCUUUGCCUGUUAGAGUUGCUGCAAUGUCUAAAAUACUGGUUCCUAAAAUCGUUGAUAAGCAAGGGGCACAAUUGCUUGCAGUUGCAGUACUUGUACUAUCUCGGACUUGGAUAUCUGAUCGUAUAGCUUCACUGAAUGGGACUAGUGUUAAGUAUGUCCUGGAGCAGGACAAGGCAGCCUUCAUUCGAUUGAUCGGGACCAGUGUAAUGCAAAGUGCUGCAAAUUCAAUUGUGGCACCAUCACUGAGACACCUUACUUCAAAGAUUGCUCUUGGAUGGCGAAUUCGCAUGACCAACCAUCUACUUGCAUAUUAUUUGAAAAGAAAUGCUUUUUACAAGGUAUUUAACAUGACAGGCAUGGAGAUUGAUGCAGACCAAAGAAUAACACGUGAUGUGGAGAAGUUGACGAAUGAUCUUGCUGGCUUAGUUACUGGAAUGGUGAAACCAUCAGUUGACAUUCUUUGGUUUACAUGGAGAAUGAAGCUUUUAUCUGGGAGAAGAGGAGUUGCUAUUUUGUACGCAUACAUGUUGCUAGGGCUUGGUUUUCUAAGAGCCGUUUCCCCUGAUUUCGGUGAUCUUUCAAACCAAGAACAAGAACUUGAAAGUUCUUUCAGGUUCAUGCACUCAAGACUGCGGACACAUGCUGAGUCAAUUGCUUUCUUUGGUGGUGGAUCAAGGGAAAGAGCUAUGGUUGAAGCUAAGUUCGCAACUUUGCUCAACCACUCGAAGAUUCUUUUGAGGAAAAGAUGGCUUUAUGGUAUAUUUGAUGAUUUCGUGACGAAGCAGCUGCCUCAUAAUGUGACAUGGGGAUUGAGUCUGUUAUAUGCUUUGGAACACAAGGGGGACCGAGCUUUGACUUCAACACAAGGAGAGUUAGCACAUGCCCUGCGGUUCUUGGCAUCUGUAGUGUCACAAAGUUUCAUAGCUUUUGGUGACAUUCUCGAGUUGCAUAAGAAAUUCCUUGAACUUUCUGGUGGUGUCAAUAGGAUCUUUGAACUCGAGGAGCUUCUAAAGGCAUCUCAAAGCAAUGCUGUCAUGCCCUCAAAUGUUAUCAGUGUGCCAUCUGAAGAAACUAUUUCCUUCCGUAAUGUGGAUAUUGUGACCCCAUCGCAAAAGCUACUGGCUAGCCAAUUGUCUUGUGAUGUGUCUCAAGGAAAAAGCCUUCUUGUCACUGGUCCAAACGGCAGUGGCAAGAGUUCCAUUUUUAGGGUGCUCCAAAGUUUGUGGCCUGUAGCUUCCGGAAGGCUCACCGUGCCAUCUGAAGGGAUAUUUCACGUUCCUCAGCGCCCAUAUACUUGCCUUGGAACCUUGAGAGAUCAGAUCAUAUAUCCUCUCUCACGUGAGGAGGCAGAGUUGAAGAUGCUUACAUUGUCCAAAACAAGUGACAGGUCUAGAUCGCUGGACGAUCACCUGAGGACAAUUCUAGAGAAUGUUCGCUUGGUCUAUCUUCUCGAAAGAGAAGGUUGGGAUGCUACUCCCAAUUGGGAAGACAUUUUGUCCUUGGGAGAACAGCAGAGGCUAGGCAUGGCCCGCCUGUUCUUUCACUCUCCUAAGUUUGGCAUCCUUGACGAGUGCACCAAUGCUACGAGUGUCGAUGUCGAGGAGCAUUUGUACAGGCUAGCAACUGACAUGGGUAUAACUGUGGUCACUUCCUCCCAAGCCUGCUCUCAUACCCUUCCAUUCGUUGGAACUGAAACUCAUCGACGGCGAAGGGAAGUGGGAGCUGUGUUCAAUCAACCACUAGUCACUGCCUGUCGCCCUAAUUUUUGA